rnacentral:rRNA from 1 species
GACGUAGGGCGCGAGCGUUGUCCGGAUUUAUUGGGCGUAAAGAGCUCGUAGGCGGCUUGUCGCGUCGUCCGUGAAAACCUGCAGCUCAACUGCAGGCUUGCGGUCGAUACGGGCAGGCUGGAGUUCGGUAGGGGAGACUGGAAUUCCCGGUGUAGCGGUGAAAUGCGCAGAUAUCAGGAGGAACACCAAUGGCGAAGGCAGCACUCUGGGACGUGACUGACGCUGAGACGCGAAAGCGUGGGGAGCGAACAGG